rnacentral:rRNA from 1 species
AUGCCGACUCAUCCAAGGUAUAUUAUAAAUUUGCCUUUUUCUAAAUUAUUAAAGAUUAUAAAUUUCACAUUGCCAGAUGGUAAUGCUAUGGAGAUUUUUGAGCAUGUCACUAAAUAUAUUUGUUAUCCUAAUGUCUGUAUUAUAUUGCAUCUUAUUUAUAGUGCAUCUAUGGUGGCAUCAGUUGAAAGACGAAGCUUUUCAAAGUUAAAAUUAUCAAAGAACUAUUUGAGGUCAAGAAUGACUAAUGAGAAUUUUAAUGGCUUGGUAUCAAUGUGCGUCAAGAAGAAAUUAUUGAAAGAGAUUGACAUGAACUUCAUCAGAAUUGAGUUUGCAUAA